rnacentral:rRNA from 1 species
GAUGAACGCUGGCGGCGUGCCUAAUACAUGCAAGUCGAGCGAACAGAUGAGGAGCCUGCUCCUCCGACGUUAGCGGCGGACGGGUGAGUAACACGUGAAUAACCUACCUAUAAGACUGGGAUAACUUCGGGAAACCGGAGCUAAUACCGGAUAAUAUAUUGAACCGCAUGGUUCAAUAGUGAAAGACGGUUUUGCUGUCACUUAUAGAUGGAUCCGCGCCGCAUUAGCUAGUUGGUAAGGUAACGGCUUACCAAGGCAACGAUGCGUAGCCGACCUGAGAGGGUGAUCGGCCACACUGGAACUGAGACACGGUCCAGACUCCUACGGGAGGCAGCAGUAGGGAAUCUUCCGCAAUGGGCGAAAGCCUGACGGAGCAACGCCGCGUGAGUGAUGAAGGUCUUCGGAUCGUAAAACUCUGUUAUUAGGGAAGAACAAAUGUGUAAGUAACUAUGCACGUCUUGACGGUACCUAAUCAGAAAGCCACGGCUAACUACGUG